rnacentral:rRNA from 1 species
ACGGCUCAGUAACCACGGUGGACAAUCUAACCUGUGGAAGGGGGAUAACCCCGGGAAACUGGGGAUAAUACCCCUAUAGACUAUGGAUGCUGGAAUGCUCUGUAGUUGAAAGGUCCGCCGCCCAUAGGAUGGGUCUGCGGCCGAUUAGGUUGUUGUUGGGGUAACGGCCCAACAAGCCUGUAAUCGGUACGGGUUGUGGGAGCAAGAGCCCGGAGAUGGAUUCUGAGACACGAAUCCAGGCCCUACGGGGCGCAGCAGGCGCGAAAACUUUGCAAUGCGGGAAACCGUGACAGGGGAACUCCGAGUGCCCGUAAAAUCGGGCUGUCCAUCAGUUUAAAUAACUGGUGAAGAAAGGGCCGGGCAAGACCGGUGCCAGCCGCCGCGGUAAUACCGGCGGCUCGAGUGGUGGCCACUAUUACUGGGCUUAAAGCGUUCGUAGCUGGUUUGUUAAGUCUCUGGGGAAAUCUUCCGGCUUAACCGGAAGGCGUCUCAGGGAUACUGGCAGACUAGGGACCGGGAGAGGUGAGGGGUACUCCAGGGGUAGGAGUGAAAUCCUGUAAUCCUUGGGGGACCACCUGUGGCGAAGGCGCCUCACCAGAACGGCUCCGACAGUGAGGGACGAAAGCUGGGGGAGCAAACCGGAUUAGAUACCCGGGUAGUCCCAGCUGUAAACGAUGCGCGUUAGGUGUAUCGGUGACCACGAGUUACCGAGGUGCCGAAGAGAAAUCGUGAAACGUGCCGCCUGGGAAGUACGGUCGCAAGGCUGAAACUUAAAGGAAUUGGCGGGGAGCACA